ACUUUGCAAUGUGCGAAAGCACGACAAGGUUAAUCCGAGUGGUUUCUGCUAAAGAAACCUUUUGUCAGUCCUAGAAACACUGAUGAAUAAGGGGUGGGCAAGUUCUGGUGUCAGCCGCCGCGGUAAAACCAGCACCUCAAGUGGUCAGGAUGAUUAUUGGGCCUAAAGCAUCCGUAGCCGGCUCUGUAAGUUUUCGGUUAAAUCUGUACGCUCAACGUACAGGCUGCCGGGAAUACUGCAGAGCUAGGGAGUGGGAGAGGUAGACGGUACUCGGUAGGAAGGGGUAAAAUCCUUUGAUCUAUUGAUGACCACCUGUGGCGAAGGCGGUCUACCAGAACACGUCCGACGGGUGAGGGAUGAAAGCUGGGGGAGCAAACCGGGAUUAGAUACCC
rnacentral:rRNA from 1 species